rnacentral:rRNA from 1 species
UAGCAAUACAGUGGAAAGUCUAGUGGCGAACGGGUGCUUAACACGUGGGCAACCUGCCAAGAAGUGGGGGAUAGCUCGCCGAAAGGCGAAUUAAUACCGCAUGUGAUCAGAGAGGACAUCCUUUCGAAAUUAAAGGUGGCGCAAGCUACCGCUUCUUGUGGGGCCCGCGGCCUAUCAGCUAGUUGGUGAGGUAACUGCUCACCAAGGCGAUGACGGGUAGCUGGUCUGAGAGGACGACCAGCCACACUGGGACUGAGACACGGCCCAGACACCUACGGGUGGCAGCAGUCGAGAAUUUUUGACAAUGGGGGAAACCCUGAUCGAGCGACGCCGCGUGGAGGAUGAAGGUCUUCGGAUUGUAAACUCCUGUCAUUGGGGAACAAUGUCCCGCCAUUAACUGUGGCGGGAUUGAUAGUACCCGAAGAGGAAGAGACGGCUAACUCUGUGCCAGCAGCCGCGGUAAUACAGAGGUCUCAAGCGUUGUUCGGAUUCAUUGGGCGUAAAGGGUGCGUAGGCGGCGCGGUAAGUCGGGUGUGAAAUCACGGAGCUUAACUCCGAAACUGCAUUCGAUACUGCCGUGCUUGAGGACUGGAGAGGAGACUGGAAUUCUCGGUGUAGCA